AAACACCGAAAAUGAAAGCAAUUUUGAGAAUACAGAUAAAGUAGCAAAAAAAAAAAAAAAACAGAUACAUACAUCCAGAUACAGCAAAGGCUAUGGAGAUGGUGUCCAUGUCUUCCUGUUUGCUAUCCAUCAAUGGAAACUUCCUUCUUUCUUCUCAAAACCCGUCUCGCCCGCCCACACUUGUCAAAUGGGGAUUUAGGAUGGAUCAGGAUGGAAGCUCAGUUACGAAGCGAAUCAAGAGCCAAGCAUUUCGAAUCUUGGCAAAUCCUAAUGUAUGAAUUGACCAAGGCUUCCUCUUGAGUAAUGCCAAUAAAUUUGGUUUGAAUAUUAUCAAACGUUUUCUUAGGUAUGUGAUUGGUGAUUUUAUGCUAAAUGACUCUUGGUAGUCAAUUUUUUGGUGUUUUGGGGUUUGUAUCAUUUGAUAUAGUUGGAUUGCUAUCAAAUUAAGAACAAAAAUAAAAAGACGUCUGCUAAGAUGAAAACAAAGCAUCGAAUUGAUUGCUUGAUUUCAAUAAUCCUGGGAAAAAAAUUGACGAUGACUCUAGAUCUCUUAUUGUGGUCGAUAUGCUUUUUUUUAGCUUAGCUCUCUUGUUUACUGUUGAUGUUCACUGUGGAUAAUGGAAUUAAAAAGCAUUGAAAUGAAUGAACACAUUACUUCAAAUGUUCACUUGAGACAUUUGAGAACAAAGAUUUGUUUUUCCUUCUUCAGGAGGAAUAGUUUAGGAGCAUAUCACAUAGUGAAAGCAUGCUAAAAAUUAUUCCUCUUGACUCUCACCAUUCUAACCUGUAAAGAACAACACAACUAAUCUGUGUAUCCAGAACAUGGAAUUCUUGGCCACCUAUAUAGAAAUGAAUAAUACAUGUCCAUAACAUAAUUUUCCAUAUGGCAAAGCUUCCGAAAAAGACCCUAAAGCUUAAUGCAGUCAAGUCCCUUUAGCCAUAUCUUAUAGCCUGUUCAAAAAUCUUCUCGGCAGCCAUUCACAUAGAGGGUUCAUGGUUUCAUGGGAGAACCGCAUUCCAACCCUUUCUAAAACUUGGAGAAGAAAACUUUCCCGCAUGUUUUUUUUUUCCCCAAAAGCAUGCCUUCAAGACCACCUCCAACGAGAACUUGAUUGAUCAUCUGUGACUCUGAGGUUUUAGUACCAAGAACUUAUCCAGGCCAUAAUCCAUUACCCUGGAGCCCUUGCCACUCUCUCUGUCUAAGAUGUAAUGGAAGCUUCUGGAAAUCUAUGUUAACACUGAGCAAAAUUUCUGUAAUUUGCUUUCCUAACUGUAGCUCGGAACUUAUUCAGUUUCCUAAUUGUACUGCCAAUACCAUUCCUAAUAUUAUUGGAGUACAUUCAUGUAGAUUUCUUCCACUUUAUGGCAAGCAUUCGAUUUAUAUACAUUAUUUUCUGCUUUGCACGAGGGGGUAUUUUGCUCUUGUGUGAUGAAACACAGGAAAUCCACAUCUAUGGAGGAUGUGAUAAAUAAUUUUAUCUUGUUGAUAUAUUUGUAGCCUAAUCCAUGUUUUCCAACCAUAAUUUUGUAACAAAGGUUAAUAAGAUUUGUAUUUAAAGUCAAUGAAUCUGAUUUCUUGGGUUUUCUAUUAUGAUUUGUAGACAACAGGCUUUUUAUUCAUAGAAAAUUGCUCAUGCCAUGAUUGUUUAUCUUGAUUCCAUUUAGUUGAAUUUCAGGGAAGUUGGCAUCUAUUAAAGUAUUGCACUUGACAUAGUGAAGGUUUCUUAACUUACAUAGUGAAGGUUUCUUAAGGGGUUGACUAUUUAUCUAGUAAUGAUGUAGGAAUUGACCUUAAAGCAAAGCUAUAGUGACAUCUUACAGUCAAGGUGUCAUCUAGGCGUUUUCAUUUAGACAUUAAAGUUUUAAGAUUGAUUGUGAGUUGGUUGAUAGAAAGCAUUCAAGGGAUGUGUCUGGUUGCAUAAAUUUUCUCUGUUCAACCUGUUCAUUUCUAAAUUUGUUAGAAGCCUGGAAAUGACUUGUUUAAAUUGGAGUCUACAAUGCUGUAGCUGUGGCCUACCUGUGCUUUAAAUCUCAUGGAAUUGCUUUGCCAAAUAAGUUGCAAGAUGAUGCAAAUCUCCCCUCUAUUCGUUUGCUGGGAAUACUGAGGUUAUUCAAGCAUUGCUCAUUUCCGGGUAUUAAAUACAUGGAGAAAGGACGAUGAUCUCUCUUCUUAGGAAAGAAAAUUCCCAGCAUAACCAUGAAGUCAGUGCCUAAAAUGUUUACCUGUUAAGUUUUUUUCGUUAAUUUUUCCCCCUUUCUUUUUCUUUAAUUCCCUUCCAUCAUUCCU